UGUAAGGAAGGGAUCCAGUUUUAGCUUUCUGCAUAUGGCUAGCCAGUUUUCCCAACACCAUAAAUAAACUUUUUGUUAUUUGAUUUUAACAUUGUUUUAUCGUGAAUGGCCUGGGUGUUUCAUUCUAACAACAACUAUUCUCUGUUAAAACAGAAGUGCAGAAUCCAGCCUGCCCUGCCUAAUUCUCAGAAAGGAGCUCCUGGAAGAUGCUGGGAACUAGGUGAAGAACCCGCCAUGCUGGGCCUGUUGGAAGAAGGAGGAGGAAGCCACCCUCCUAUCGAGGCGGCCUUGAACCUGGUGAGAGAAUGUGGAGGUCAGUAAGUCGUCUGUUCCUCUCAGAAAACACUCCGGUGCAAAAUACUGUGUUCUUUGUGUCCUUUAGCCUUGGUGUCCAUUUUCACACAAAACUGCCCAACAAUUAUAUUCCUUACUUUUUUUUUUUUUUGCUAUAAAAAUGUUUUAUUAGGCCAAACUACUUACUAUGAAAAUGCUUUAAAAUGCACCAGGAGGAGAUGUAAAGACUCAAAGAAGUGCGUAGUGACAAUGGCUAUCAGAACACACUAAAGAAUCCACACUGCUUCCCCACUUUACCUAGAAAAGGAAGCUUCUAGGCUACCUCCUCCUCA
rnacentral:lncRNA from 1 species